rnacentral:lncRNA from 1 species
CUAAGUUUUGUAACACGUUAUCAGCACGAAGCUCUACUAUCUCAAGAAUCUCUUUGAGAAAAUUAAGGUAUUUUUUCUCCUCCUAAUUUUGUUUUAAUUUUGUCUGACAUUAUGAAAAGAAAGUUUGUUGCCCUUGAAAUUUCGGGCAAAGAACUACAUGACAUGGGUGUUGGAUGCUGAAAUCCAUUUGGAUGCAAUG